AUACGGAGGGUGCAAGCGUUACUCGGAAUCACUGGGCGUAAAGCGCGCGCAGGCGGUCUUUUAAGUUGGAUGAGAAAGCCUACGGCUCAACCGUAGAACUGCAUCCAAAACUAUUAGACUAGAGUGUGGGAGAGGAAGAUGGAAUUAGUUGUGUAGGGGUAAAAUCCGUAGAGAUAACUAGGAAUACCAAAAGCGAAGGCAAUCUUCUGGAACACUACUGACGCUGAGGCGCGAAAGCGUGGGGAGCAAACAGGAUUAGAAACCCUAGUAGUCC
rnacentral:rRNA from 1 species